AAUAGGCCGUUCCAAGAUGCUGUCAAAAUUAAAUCAAUAUGGCUACUGGAAGGCAAACAUUGAAUAUUAUUCUAUCAGGUUCUUAUGGUUUUAGAUCAUUUUAGUUGUUGUACAAAGAUUAAUUUAACAUUUUCUCUGGAAGUAUUAAUUUAGAAAGAUAAUAUGCCUCAUUGGUGUUGUGUUUUGAAGUGUGAAAUGCAAAGUAAUCGUGAUAAAGUUAGCUUUUACCACUUACCAUCAGUGCUACAUUCUAAGCACAAAACUGAACCAAUUUAACUAAAUAAGUUAUAGUUAUCAUCUGAGAGACAACAACAAUGGUAAAAUGCAAUAAAAUAUAAAGAUUUUACUAGCAAAAUGGAAAUUCCCCUGUAAUCAUCUUAUAUCUGGUAAGUUACAACAUUUGAACAUUAACGAUUUUUGAAGAUGUUAACAGUCUAAUCUUGUAGGAAAACCAGCCGACUUAACUGAUAAUAACAAUCCAGAUUGGGUUCCUUCAAUAAAUAUGGGGUAUAUAAACACAAUGAAAUGAGUUCCCCAAAAUCUAAAAUGGGAAUUAAGGUACCAAAGGAGAAUUAAAAGAAAAGGGUACCUACAAGAAAAAAUUGCUUUUUUAUUCCUCUUGAAAUGAUUUAUAAGACACUGGACUGUCUUAUAUUCUACAAAUACUAGAAUCAGCUGAGAGAAGUGGUCUACAAAAACCCAGGAAGGAAACGGAAUAUGUGGCUACGAAAGGCAAAAGAAAGGUUUACAAAGCAAAUGUGACACAUUUUUUUGAAAUAUUUAGGAAUAUCAGUAAAUUGCAUUAAAAAAAUGUAUGAAAAGAUUUUGUUCAAUAAAAAUGUUUAUAUUUA